UGUGAGCUCGAUGAGUAGGGCGGGACACGUGGUAUCCUGUCUGAAUAUGGGGGGACCAUCCUCCAAGGCUAAAUACUCCUGACUGACCGAUAGUGAACCAGUACCGUGAGGGAAAGGCGAAAAGAACCCCGGCGAGGGGAGUGAAAAAGAACCUGAAACCGUGUACGUACAAGCAGUGGGAGCCUCUUUAUGGGGUGACUGCGUACCUUUUGUAUAAUGGGUCAGCGACUUAUAUUCUGUAGCAAGGUUAACCGAAUAGGGGAGCCGAAGGGAAACCGAGUCUUAACUGGGCGUUAAGUUGCAGGGUAUAGACCCGAAACCCGGUGAUCUAGCCAUGGGCAGGUUGAAGGUUGGGUAACACUAACUGGAGGACCGAACCGACUAAUGUUGAAAAAUUAGCGGAUGACUUGUGGCUGGGGGUGAAAGGCCAAUCAAACCGGGAGAUAGCUGGUUCUCCCCGAAAGCUAUUUAGGUAGCGCCUCGUGAAUUCAUCUCCGGGGGUAGAGCACUGUUUCGGCAAGGGGGUCAUCCCGACUUACCAACCCGAUGCAAACUGCGAAUACCGGAGAAUGUUAUCACGGGAGACACACGGCGGGUGCUAACGUCCGUCGUGAAGAGGGAAACAACCCAGACCGCCAGCUAAGGUCCCAAAGUCAUGGUUAAGUGGGAAACGAUGUGGGAAGGCCCAGACAGCCAGGAUGUUGGCUUAGAAGCAGCCAUCAUUUAAAGAAAGCGUAAUAGCUCACUGGUCGAGUCGGCCUGCGCGGAAGAUGUAACGGGGCUAAACCAUGCACCGAAGCUGCGGCAGCGACACUAUGUGUUGUUGGGUAGGGGAGCGUUCUGUAAGCCUG
rnacentral:rRNA from 1 species